AAUUUUCGGCAAUGGGGGCAACCCUGACCGAGCAACGCCGCGUGAGUGAAGACGGCCUUCGGGUUGUAAAGCUCUGUUGUAAGGGAAGAAUAACCUAAGCAGGGAAUGGCUUAGGAAUGACGGUACCUUACCAGACAGCCACGGCUAACUACGUGCCAGCAGCCGCGGUAAUACGUAGGUGGCGAGCGUUAUCCGGAAUUAUUGGGCGUAAAGGGUGCGUAGGCGGCUAUUUAAGUUUAAGGUUAAAGUUCGGGGCUUAACUCCGUGAUGCCUUAGAAACUGGGUAGCUAGAGUGCAGGAGAGGUUAGUGGAAUUCCAUGUGUAGCGGUAAAAUGCGUAGAUAUAUGGAGGAACACCAGUGGCGAAGGCGGCUAACUGGCCUGUAACCGACGCUGAGGCACGAAAGCGUGGGGAGCAAAUAGG
rnacentral:rRNA from 1 species